UACAGAGGGGGCAAGCGUUGUUCGGAAUUACUGGGCGUAAAGGGCGCGUAGGCGGCCUGUUAAGUCGAACGUGAAAGCCCGGGGCUUAACCCCGGGUCUGCAGUCGAUACGGGCAGGCUAGAGUUCGGUAGGGGAGAUCGGAAUUCCUGGUGUAGCGGUGAAAUGCGCAGAUAUCAGGAGGAACACCGGUGGCGAAGGCGGAUCUCUGGGCCGAUACUGACGCUGAGGAGCGAAAGCGUGGGGAGCGAACAGG
rnacentral:rRNA from 1 species